CAUACUUUGGCUAUUGUUGAUAGCGCUGUUAUAAACAUUGGGAUGCAUGUGCCCCUUUGAAACAGCACACCUGUAGCCCUUGGAUAAAUAUCCAGUAGUGCAAUUGCUGUGUCGUAGGGUAGUUCUGUUUUUAAUUUUUUGAGGAACCUCCAUGCUG